rnacentral:rRNA from 1 species
GAUGAACGCUGGCGGCGUGCUUAACACAUGCAAGUCGAACGGAAAGGCCCAAGCUUGCUUGGGUACUCGAGUGGCGAACGGGUGAGUAACACGUGGGUGAUCUGCCCUGCACUUCGGGAUAAGCCUGGGAAACUGGGUCUAAUACCGGAUAGGACCACAUUUUGGAUGGGGUGGUGGAAAGUUUUUCGGUGUGGGGUGAGCUCGCGGCCUUUCAGCUUGUUGGGGGGGUAAGGGCCUACCAAGGCGUCGACGGGUAGCCGGCCUGCGAGGGGGUACGGCCACAUUGGGACUGAGGUCCGGCCCAGGCUCCUACGGGAGGCAGCAGUGGGGAAUAUUGCACAAUGGGCGCCAGCCUGAUGCAGCGACGCCUCGUGGGGGAUGACGGCCUUCGGGUUGUAGACCCCUGUCGCUAGGGAAGAAGCGUUUUUGUGACGGUACCUGGAGAAGAAGCACCGGCUAACUACGUG